UAGGGUAUCUUCGGCAAUGGGGGCAACCCUGACCGAGCAACGCCGCGUGAGUGAAGAAGGUUUUCGGAUCGUAAAGCUCUGUUUUAAGAGAAGAACGUGUGUGAGAGUGGAAAGUUCACACAGUGACGGUAACUUACCAGAAAGGGACGGCUAACUACGUGCCAGCAGCCGCGGUAAUACGUAGGUCCCGAGCGUUGUCCGGAUUUAUUGGGCGUAAAGCGAGCGCAGGCGGUUUAAUAAGUCUGAAGUUAAAGGCAGUGGCUUAACCAUUGGUCGCUUUGGAAACAGUUAAACUUGAGUGCAGAAGGGAAGAGUGGAAUUCAAUGUGUGGCGGUGAAAUGCGUAGAGAUAUGGAGGAACACAGGUGGCGAGAGCGGAGCUCUGGUCUGUAACUGACGCUGAGGCUCGAAAGAGUGGGGAGCAAACAGA
rnacentral:rRNA from 1 species